rnacentral:lncRNA from 1 species
AUUGGAGGAAAGAUGAGUGAGAGCAUCAACUUCUCUGACAACCUAGGCCAGUGUGUGGUGAUGCCAGGCAUGCCCUUCCCUAGCAUCAGGUCUCCAGAGCUGCAGAAGACGACGGCCGACUUGGAUCACACUCUUCUCAGAGCCCAGGCCAGGGGCCCCCAAGAAAGGCUCUGGUGGAGAACCUCUGCAUGAAGGCUGUCAACCAGUCCAUAGGCAAGCCUGGCUGCCUCCAGCUGGGGAUUCUGCCAGCAUAGUGCUCCUGGACCAGUGAUACACCCGGCACCCUGUCCUGGACAAGCUGUUGGCCUGGAUCUGAGCCCUCGUGGAGGUCAAAGCCACCUUUGGUUCUGCCAUUGCUGCUGUGUGGAAGUUCACUCCUGCCUUUUCCUUUCCCUAGAGCCUCCACCACCCCGAGAUCACAUUUCUCACUGCCUUUUGUCUGCCCAGUUUCACUAGAAGUAGGCCUCAUCCUGACAGGCAGCUGCACCACUGCCUGGCGCUGUGCCCUUCCUUUGCUCUGCCCGCUGGAGACGGUGUUUGUCAUGGGCCUGGUCUGCAGGGAUCCUGCUACAAAGGUGAAACCCAGGAGAGUGUGGAGUCCAGAGUGUUGCCAGGACCCAGGCACAGGCAUUAGUGCCCGUUGGAGAAAACGGGAAUCCCAAAGAAAUGGUGGGUCCUGGCCAUCCGUGAGAUCUUCCCAGGGCAGCUCCCCUCUGUGGAACCCAAUCUGUCUUCCAUCCUGUGUGGCCGAGGGCCAGGCUUCUCACUAGGCCUCUGCAGGAGGCUGCCAUUUGUCCUGCCCACCUUCUUAGAAGCGAGACGGAGCAGACCCAUCUGCUACUGCCCUUUCUAUAAUAACUAAAGUUAGCUGCCCUGGACUAUUCACCCCCUAGUCUCAAUUUAAAAAGAUCCCCAUGGCCACAGGGCCCCUGCCUGGGGGCUUGUCACCUCCCCCACCUUCUUCCUGAGUCACUCCUGCAGCCUUGCUCCCUAACCUGCCCCACAGCCUUGCCUGGAUGUCUAUCUCCCUGGCUUGGUGCCAGUUCCUCCAAGUCGAUGGCACCUCCCUCCCUCUCAACCACUUGAGCAAACUCCAAGACAUCUUCUACCCCAACACCAGCAAUUGUGCCAAGGGCCAUUAGGCUCUCAGCAUGACUAUUUUUAGAGACCCCGUGUCUGUCACUGAAACCUUUUUUGUGGGAGACUAUUCCUCCCAUCUGCAACAGCUGCCCCUGCUAACUGCCCUUCUCUCCUCCCUCUCAUCCCAGAGAAACAGGUCAGCUGGGAGCUUCUGCCCCCACUGCCUAGGGACCAACAGGGGCAGGAGGCAGUCACUGACCCCGAGACGUUUGCAUCCUGCACAGCUAGAGGUCCUUUAUUAAAAGCACACUGUUGGUU